GACUGACACGUCCUGCCCUAGUUUCACGUAAUCAGCCAUAUUGAAACUUCGAUUAAACUUUCAUUAAUUCCAGUUUAGUGCACAAGUACCUGGAGCCGUGCGAUUGAAAAAACUGUUUUCGAUAAAGUCGGGGAAUAGUGUUUGAAGCUAUUGGUUUCCAUAAUUUAAUUCUGGAAUAUAAUUUCAACAAUGUCACAAGCAUUGCCAAUUCGUUUUCAAGAGCAUUUACAGCUCACCAACAUAAACAUUAAUCCGGACUCAAUUUCAUUUACAAAUCUUACGAUGGAAUCCGAUAAGUUUAUCUGUGUUAGAGAAAAAGUAGGAGAAACGGCACAGGUUGUGAUUAUCGAUAUGAACGAUGCGCAAAAUCCUAUUCGUCGUCCAAUAAGCGCUGAUUCCGCCAUUAUGAAUCCAGCUAGUAAGGUCAUUGCUUUAAAAGCAGCUCAAAAGACUCUGCAGAUUUUUAAUAUUGAGAUGAAAUCCAAAAUGAAAGCUCAUACGAUGACAGAAGAAGUGGUGUUCUGGAAGUGGAUUACAUUAAAUACGUUGUCGCUAGUAACGGAUACGUCAAUAUAUCACUGGUCUAUGGAAGGCGAUUCGAUUCCUUUAAAAAUGUUUGAGCGCCAUUCAUCGCUAAACGGUUGUCAAAUAAUCAACUAUAGAACCGAUCCCAAGCAGGCUUGGCUUCUUUUGGUCGGCAUUUCAGCGCUACAAAGUCGUGUCAAUGGAUCUAUGCAAUUAUAUUCCGUGGAACGUAAAGUCUCGCAAGCCAUUGAGGGACACGCUGCAUCAUUUGCUACAUUUAAAAUGGAAGAAAACAAGGAACCAUCAACGUUGUUUUGUUUCGCUGUUCGCUCUGCUACAGCCGCGAAGUUGCAUAUCAUUGAGGUUGGUGCAGCCCCAGCUGGAAACACUCCUUUUUCCAAGAAAGCAGUGGAUGUAUUUUUUCCUCCAGAGGCACAGAGUGAUUUUCCUGUAGCAAUGCAAGUUUCGCCAAAAUAUGAUGUCAUUUAUCUAAUAACCAAGUAUGGUUACAUACACAUGUAUGACAUCGAAACUGCAACAUGUAUUUACAUGAACCGUAUCUCUGCCGAUACAAUUUUCGUAACAGCGCCACAUGAAACAAGCGGUGGAAUUAUAGGAGUUAAUCGAAAGGGACAAGUACUUUCAGUCACUGUCGAUGAGGAGCAAAUCAUACCGUACAUUAACAAUGUGUUACAGAAUCCAGAUCUAGCUUUGCGAAUGGCAGUGCGCAAUAAUUUAUCGGGUGCUGAGGACUUGUUUGUACGUAAAUUUAAUCAUUUAUUCCAGAAUGCACAAUAUGCCGAAGCAGCAAAAGUUGCUGCGAUUGCCCCAAAAGGUAUCUUGCGUACACCACAAACGAUACAAAAGUUUCAACAAGUUCCUGCUCAACCAGGGACCAAUUCACCUCCAUUGUUGCAAUAUUUUGGUAUAUUAUUAGACCAAGGAAAGCUGAAUAAAUAUGAAUCUUUGGAACUAUGUCGCCCGGUUCUCGCGCAAGGGCGGAAGCAAUUAUGCGAAAAGUGGUUGAAGGAGGAAAAACUCGAGUGCAGUGAAGAACUUGGAGAUUUAGUGAAACCAUCUGACCCAACUUUAGCUCUUUCAAUAUAUUUGCGUUCUAAUGUUCCGAAUAAAGUUAUUCAAUGCUUUGCCGAAACCGGCCAAUUUCAAAAGAUUGUUUUAUACGCCAAAAAAGUAAAUUACAAUCCUGAUUAUGUAUUUUUGUUGCGUUCGGUAAUGCGAACAAACCCAGAGCAGGGUGCUGGUUUUGCUAGUAUGUUAGUUGCAGAUGAAGAACCACUAGCCGAUAUAAAUCAAAUUGUUGAUAUAUUUAUGGAGCAAAACAUGGUUCAACAAUGUACCGCGUUUUUGUUGGAUGCUUUGAAAAAUAAUAGAUCGAGUGAAGGAUCACUACAAACAAGGCUUCUAGAAAUGAACUUGAUGUCAGCGCCUCAAGUGGCGGACGCCAUACUGGGCAAUGCAAUGUUUACUCAUUAUGACCGUGCCCACAUUGCCCAACUAUGUGAAAAAGCUGGAUUACUGCAACGUGCUCUUGAACAUUACACGGAUUUAUAUGACAUCAAGCGAGCUGUUGUGCAUACACACCUGUUAAAUGGAGAUUGGCUGGUUGGUUUUUUUGGUACCUUGUCUGUUGAGGAUUCGUUGGAGUGUUUGAAAGCAAUGUUAACCGCAAAUAUACGGCAAAAUUUACAAAUAUGCGUUCAAAUUGCAACCAAAUAUCACGAACAGCUAACAACUAAAGCACUGAUCGAUUUAUUUGAAAGUUUCAAAAGCUACGAAGGCUUGUUUUAUUUCUUGGGAUCCAUCGUGAAUUUUAGCCAAGAUCCAGAAGUACACUUCAAAUACAUACAGGCUGCGUGCAAAACUAAUCAGAUUAAAGAAGUUGAGCGCAUCUGUCGUGAAUCAAACUGCUACAAUGCUGAAAGAGUAAAAAAUUUCCUGAAGGAAGCGAAAUUAACUGACCAACUUCCGUUGAUUAUUGUUUGUGAUCGCUUUGACUUUGUGCACGAUUUGGUACUAUACCUUUAUCGCAACAGUCUGCAAAAGUACAUCGAAAUCUAUGUUCAAAAGGUCAAUCCAUCCCGACUACCAGUCGUUGUGGGAGGGUUACUUGAUGUAGAUUGCUCCGAAGAUAUUAUAAAAAAUCUAAUCUUGGUUGUCAAGGGUCAAUUUUCAACGGAUGAACUUGUUGAAGAAGUAGAAAAACGCAAUCGCUUGAAACUUUUAUUACCCUGGCUAGAAUCGCGUGUUCAUGACGGUUGUAUAGAGCCUGCUACCCACAAUGCUUUGGCUAAAAUUUAUAUCGACUCAAACAAUAAUCCGGAACGCUAUUUAAAAGAAAAUCAAUUCUAUGAUAGCCGAGUUGUUGGUCGUUAUUGUGAAAAACGUGAUCCCCAUCUAGCUUGUGUUGCUUACGAACGUGGGCGUUGUGAUCGAGAACUGAUAGCGGUUUGCAAUGAAAAUUCGCUAUUUAAAUCCGAAGCGAGAUAUCUGGUUCGUCGUCGUGAUCCUGAACUUUGGGCUGAUGUACUAUCUGAGGCAAAUCCUUACAAAAGACAGCUUAUCGAUCAAGUUGUUCAAACUGCUUUAUCAGAAACCCAGGACCCUGACGACAUUUCAGUCACAGUGAAGGCAUUUAUGACAGCCGAUUUGCCAAAUGAACUUAUUGAAUUGCUAGAAAAAAUAGUACUAGAUUCGUCUGUGUUUUCUGAUCAUCGGAAUCUGCAAAAUUUAUUGAUUCUUACUGCAAUCAAAGCGGAUAGGAGUCGUGUCAUGGAUUACAUCAACAGACUAGACAACUAUGAUGCACCCGAUAUAGCUAACAUUGCUAUUAAUAAUGAACUGUACGAAGAAGCUUUUGCUAUUUUCAAAAAGUUUGAUGUAAACACCUCCGCAAUACAAGUGCUUAUUGAGCAAGUGCAUAAUUUGGAACGUGCUAACGAAUUUGCUGAACGAUGCAACGAACCAGCCGUUUGGUCUCAGUUAGCUCGUGCUCAAUUGCAACAAGGACUAGUGAAAGAAGCAAUCGAUAGUUACAUUAAGGCUGAUGAUCCUAGUGCAUAUAUAGAUGUCGUCGAAACCGCAAGCAAAAAUGAAUCCUGGGAAGACUUAGUUCGCUAUCUUCAAAUGUCACGGAAAAAAGCGCGAGAAAGCUACAUCGAAAGCGAAUUAAUCUAUGCAUAUGCACGAACCGGCCGUUUAGCAGAUUUGGAAGAAUUUGUUUCUGGACCGAAUCAUGCAGAUAUCCAGAAAAUUGGCGAUCGAUGCUUCAAUGAUAAAAUGUAUGAAGCAGCAAAGUUGUUGUAUAACAAUGUUAGCAACUUUGCAAGAUUAGCUAUCACUUUAGUGCAUCUAAAAGAAUUUCAAGGAGCAGUAGAUGGUGCAAGGAAGGCCAAUUCUACACGUACUUGGAAAGAAGUAUGCUUUGCAUGCGUAGAUGCAGAGGAGUUUCGUUUAGCACAAAUGUGUGGCCUGCAUAUAGUUGUGCAUGCUGAUGAGUUGGAGGAUUUAAUUACUUACUAUCAGGAUAGGGGUCAUUUCGAGGAAUUGAUAGGAUUACUAGAAGCAGCACUUGGACUAGAACGUGCUCAUAUGGGAAUGUUUACCGAACUUGCAAUACUUUACUCAAAAUAUAAACCGACUAAAAUGCGCGAACACUUAGAACUUUUCUGGUCUAGAGUCAAUAUUCCCAAAGUACUCCGUGCUGCUGAACAGGCUCACCUUUGGUCCGAGCUUGUAUUUCUUUAUGACAAAUAUGAGGAAUAUGACAAUGCCGUUUAUUCAAUGAUGGCGCAUCCUACAGAGGCAUGGCGUGAAGGACAUUUUAAAGAUAUCAUAACGAAAGUUGCCAAUAUUGAGCUUUAUUACAAAGCAAUUCAGUUCUAUUUAGACUACAAACCACUACUAUUGAAUGACAUGCUAUUGGUGCUGGCUCCGCGCAUGGAUCACACGCGAGCUGUCAAUUUUUUUACAAAACAGAGCCAUUUGCAGUUGGUCAAAUCAUAUCUCCGAUCAGUGCAAAGUCUUAAUAACAAAGCAAUUAAUGAAGCUCUAAACGGUUUACUAAUAGAUGAAGAAGAUUAUCAAGGUCUCAGAACAUCUAUCGAUGCUUUUGAUAACUUUGACAAUAUUGCACUUGCCCAGAAAUUAGAAAAACACGAAUUAACUGAAUUCAGAAGAAUUGCUGCAUAUUUGUACAAAGGAAAUAAUCGCUGGAAACAAAGCGUUGAAUUGUGUAAAAAAGACCGCCUUUUUAAAGAUGCCAUGGAAUAUGCAGCCGAAUCACAUCAGGGUGAACUUGCCGAAGAACUUUUGGGUUGGUUCCUAGAAAGAGGUGCUUUUGACUGUUUUGCAGCCUGUCUUUUCCAGUGCUAUGAUUUAUUGCGUCCAGAUAUUAUUCUUGAGCUAGCUUGGCGUCACAACAUCACGGACUUUGCAAUGCCCUAUUUAAUACAAGUAACGAGAGAGUAUACAUCUAAAGUAGACAAGCUAGAAGCAGCCGAUGCAGAACGACAGAAAGAAGGAGAAAAUACGGAGCAUAAAUCAAUAAUACUUCCCGAACCGCAACUUAUGUUAACGGCAGGUCCCGGCAUGGGAAUACCACAGUAUGCUACACAGUAUUCCGGAAGUUAUGUUGCACCUCAACCAAGUAUGUCACCAUAUCCAGGAUAUGGUGGUAUGUAAGACAGCUUUCGUCUGAGGGUGUGAUCGACUUUUCCGAUGGUAGACAUUAAAACUGUUAGUUUAUGUCUUUAAUUACAACUCACGUUUGCACGUGCUACUUUCAAUUAAUUUGAAUUUUGGGUGAUUGAUCGUGGUUCGCACUAUACAAAAACUGAUCCUGGUUCGUGCUAUUAACUAAAUCAUCGAUAAACCAUUGAAUAAUCGGCGGUUCUAAAUUAAAUUAAUUAUCAAAGCUGCUUCUAUUUUUUAACAAUACAUAGCUUUGAAUUCUUUUAAAGCAAACUACUUAAACUUGCCCUGAUAACUAAGCUAAUGAAAGAUGUGCAUUCGGUUGCUAAUGUCUUCACCGUAGCAGUCUGUUUAAGCGUCUCUACAGUAUUUUAGCCCGUGAUGUACAACUUCAAAUUAGUUUUAAAACAUCGAUCCAUCUGUAUUUUACGAGUAUUGAAACGUUUUAUUACAAAAAAAGUCUCCGAUUGUAUUUUUUUUUUCAUUUAAUAACACAAUAUUAGUUUUUUGAUCCUGGUUCGUGCUGCAAGUGUUCGUGGUUCGUCCUAACAGUUUCACCAAAUCACCGCUAGAUGCGGGGCGCAUUAGUUUUUCUUCCCUUUUAUAAUAAAACUGGCCGGAAAGACGCCCCACGAAACUUCUUUAGGAAAUUAUACGUGGCCAUGUUUGGCAGGAGAAACACAACUCGGUAUACUUAGUAGAGCAGUAAGCGUGUUUUUUUUAUUCUCAUUUUAAUUUAUGUUUUCUUGCAAUUGAUACCAACUCCGAAUAGUUUUGCCUUUCUCCCAGAAAGGUAUAGCAAUCACUUUAAAAACUAAAGGUAUGAAAGUGCUCCAAAGGGCCGAAUGUCGUAUAUCACUCGACUCAGUUUGACAAACUGAGCAUUUUCUGUUUGUAUGUGUGUAGGUGUGUGUGUGUGUGUGUGUAUGUGGAACUUUUUUUUCUCACUCACUUUCCUCAGAGAUGGCUGGACCGAUUUCCAUGAAAUUAAUUGCAAAUGAAAGGUCUAGUUGCCACAUAGGUUGUAAAUAUCACGAAAUAUCAAUGCCUCAGAAACCACAUAACCGAUUUCAAUGAAAUUAAUGUCAAAUGAACGGGCUAUCUCCAGAACCCUUAACUUAUAAAUUCCAUAAUAAUUAAACAUAUGGUUCAAAAGUUAUAUAAAGAAAUGUUUUCCAGAGGCUGUUUAAACUCACUCAUUUUUCUCAGAGAUGGCUGGACCGACUUUCACAAAAUUAGUCUCGAACGAAAGGUCUAGUUGUCCCAUAGGUUGCUAUUGAAUUUCAUUGUUCUUGACUUUGUCCGUUUUUUAUAAAAAUGUGAAAUCACGUUAUAAAAGCAAAGCUUAUACCAAAGCCUGCUUAAACUCACUCACUUUUCUCAGAGAUGGUUAGACCGAUUUUCCCGAAAUCAGUUGCAAAUGAAAGGUCUGGUGGCCUUAUAAUACCCUAUUGAAUUUCAUUAUAAUCGGAUUUUUAGUUUAGAUACCGUGUUUCAAAAUGUGAAUAUCACGAAACUUCAUUAUUUCAGAAACUACACAACCAAUUUAAACAAAACUGGUGUCAAAUUAAAGGGCUGUCUUGAAAAUCCUUAACUAAUGAUUAAACAUGUUUCCAAGACCCUGUUGAAUUUCAUUGUAAUUGGACUAUAACUUUGUCCAUUAUGUAUAAAUGAAAGUCACAAAAGAAACAUAUUCCAAAGACUGCUUAAGCUCACUCAAGUGGUUGUGUGGUUGGACCGAUUUUUCAAAAUCUCAAACAUACUUAUGUUAUUACUUUAUAUAUAACAUCAAUAUUCUAGAACUCAAUGAGUGAAUAUACCUUCAUUGACUUGUAUUUGACAAUUUAAGGAUGUUUUCCAGAAACCGGAAGCUGCAAAAUCGUUGCGUUUUUUCAUAAAUCGAAAGCUACUCAAUGUGUGCAGUACGAAAAGCGAAAAAUAAGCGAACUGGAAAUAUGAUACAGAUUUGGAAAAAUAUACCGCAUCCCGUCAGAUUUAAAAAA